UCCAGAUCAGUAGGUGGCGGUAAUGCACCUUUCCGUUGGUCUGCCAAACCGCCAUAAAACACCACAAGAAGAAGAAGAAACGUGGGAAAGCGCAAAAACAAGAUUUACUCGUCGGCGAGUAAAUAGUAAUAAUUUAGGAAUAAUUUACUGUAAUGUAUCAAAUAGUGAUGUAAAUAGUGAUCCUGAAGUAAACAUAUUUUUUAAUAUCUUAUAAUAAAGUUUCAAAAUAACUUAAUAAUAAUCUGUUUAAUAGAGAAACGUGAUUUAAACAGUGUUAGCUCGCUAGCAUUUUAGCUAUUAAUGUAAACAUAAUCACACAUUAACUCGUGACAGUAAAUUACAGAUUUGUAUUUUUAUUUUCUUUUAUAAACCCGUUCAUACGUUUAUUCAUAUGCUUCAUUAGAGAUGUAGUGAAGCGUCGCGUUCAUUUCCUGUUUGGACCGGAAGUAGAUUCUGCACAUGAGAAGACAUGUGGAUCUGUGGGAAGCUGCUGUUGAUCGAAAGGUGAAGGAGACGCUUCCUGGACCGGAGCAGACGCCUCUACAUAACCUGAAAUCGGGAGACGGGGUGAAGUGAAGCGGUGAAGUACUUCAGAAGAAAGAGCCGGAACACCAAACGGUGUCUGAGACCUUUCCAGGUGCUCCUGACAACGCAGACUGCUGUGAAUGUCGCAGAGAGAGCCACGUGGAUUCACGCCAGCCAGAGCAAACGAGUGCCAGACCCGGAACAGGGGUUGAUGGGAGACGGGGAAAGUGAGAACACUUCACAUAGGAACUCUGGUGUCGCUGGACCUCGUGAGGUGGGAGAAGGGCGCCGUUUAGGUGCUUAAGUCGCACCUGCCCUUCAAGCACCAAUAACGUCAAGAAUAGGAAAGGUGUCACCAGACCAGAUCUAGAACAAACAGGAGACCCGCUCCGAUCCACCUGACGACACAACCUGAGAAGGAUACGUUUAUUUAAGUAGUUCAGCGUUGAAUUAUGUUGUAACGAGUUUUGUCGAGAAUAUUCACGAUAUUAACCUUCUCUUGAGCAGAUUCUAUCAAAAUGUAUCUUCAUUAUGUUCUUUUUCAGUGUUGAAGAAUCUCUUCUACAUUUGUUUUGCCUCCUUUUCCAAGUCUUUCUGAUCCGAAGUUACUGUUUUUAUUCCUUUUUUGUAAAAACAUUGUACAGUUGACUGAAGCUGCUAUUAUUCUUUCAGAUUUGCACUCGUUUUCACGAUUUCCCACCAAAAUGUGCUGAUCUGACCAAUCACAGUCCAGAAAAUCUACACUUGUGUAAAAAAUGCUAAUUUUGAUGAUGCAGGUGCAGUACACAGAACCCCCUCUUGCCCCCAGACCUUACAGAACUCCUGCACUCUGUGUGUCAUCCUGCAAUGCACAAACUCAAUCUUCAGUCCGGCCUUCAAAAGAGUUCUAAUGCGCUGUUCUGGAUUCAGUGUUCCCCUGACUAUCAGUUUAUUUUUCUCAUAAGCAGGUAGCUAGUUCAGCUCGGCCUAUUAUAACAUUAACUGUGCAGAUUGUCUCUCCACAGAUAAUCAGCUUCUCUGUGAGUAUCUGCACUAAAUGCCCUGUCCAACUUCACAGUGUACUGAACAUAUCUCUAAGUCUGUUACAUCUAAGGAAGAGGUGGACAAUGGACAUGUUGUAGCUACAGUGGAGACGAUAUGUGCCACGUGUCUGUCUGUGGCCGCGAGACUGGAUCAGAGUGAUUUGAGACAAGACCGGAGUGUGUUUGAAUCAGUGUGAUUUGAGACGAGGCCAGAGUGAGCCUGGAUUAGUGCACUUCAGAGAACUCAGUUCAGACUUUACCUGAAAAUCAGUCACACACACACACUUCAACACAGCAGUAUUUACACAUUUUCUUUCAUUUCUACCUCAAAUAAACCCAAAUAUUCUCCUACACAACACUAUGUAGUGCACUAAACAUAGUGUACGAGACACUACACAAAAUAAAAUCCUUUUACAGAGAAAUGUAGAUAAAUAACACAUAUUUAGUUCAUACACUAGUGCACUACAAAAACCCUGCCUUUCCUGAUCACCCUACAAAGUGCACUUCAACAUCGAGUCAUUUGGGACUCGUACAAGUUUCCGUUAACAACGCUGGUACAGUGUUAAAGAGGCUCCUGAAACUUUAACUUCAAUUUUGAUUUAUUUAGUAAACAUAAGGAAACAAGUUGUAAAUCUACAUUUGUGACUUAAAUUUAAAACACCAUUCAUCCAGCAUCAUAAGCAGCAACACUAAAUGCUUAGUAGUUGAUCCUGGUACAAUCUGUACAAGUUCUGUAAAAGUUCCCACCUGAACCUCCACUCUCCUCCACUUCUCCUUUCCCUGCUGUCUCUGUAGACGUCUUCCUGCUCUUCUUCUCCUCCUUUGGCCAACAGUAGCCCAAUUUCCACCGGUACCCUGUAGGCUAACGAUACCUGUGGGGGUCGUUGGUAACCAGGGCCUCGAUCGAUCAAUUUCUCUUUUGUGAUCCAGAUAUUUGAUUUGGAAGGACGCCCUUCCUUACGCAACCCUCCCCAUUUACCCGUGCAACCCUAUAUACGUUUGUGUGUGUGUGUGUGUAUAGCUGGCCAAAUGUAUAGGAGACAGCAUUCAUAUUGUGCAUCACUGGGACUUUCCUGUCAGCAUGUGCUGUGUCUUGAUAAUCUCUUUUCAGAGAACUGCUGUACACAUACUGUAGUCUGUGCAGCACAAUUCUGUGUAUCUGUGUGCAUCAAUUAAGUCCAAAAACAGUCCAGGUUCGGAAACACAGGCAAACAGGGCGAUGCAGAGAAGACAAAAAACUAAUCCAAAAAACAGUCCAAAAAAUCCAUAAACUGGCACACAGAACAAAGAAGGGCAGAGCACAAUCACAAACCAAUAACAGGUCAGAGUUCAAACCAGGGCAGAGGCAGUGCAGAACAGGGUACAGAGAUCGGGUACAGAGAUCAGGAACAGGCAGGGUGGCAAGAAGAAUCAUCAAGAUGGCCGCCGACCCGGAAGUGCUCACCGCGAAACCGGAAGUGUGCGCAGUGUCCCUGGGAGAUCCUGACAUAGAGGCUCAAGACUUCUGAUUCAGGGGAAUCUUUAUCUGACUCCUCAUGAAUAUCAUCAGACUGUAAAUAAAUUAAUGAUUGUGAGAUCAUUAAAGAGACACUACCAUCAUCAUUA